GGUUCGGGAGCCUUCCGGUGGGACGGAAGGCAGGUAUGGAACCUGACCCCCCAUUCGCCUGCAACGUGUAUCGGGCCCCGACGAUACACGC
rfam:Rhodobacter aestuarii strain DSM 19945 genome assembly, contig: Ga0111637_111